UCCACACCACAGCAGCCUAGUCCUGAAUCCACACCACAGCAGCCUAGCCCUGAAUCCACACCACAGCAUUCCAGCCUUGAAACCACCUCCCGGCAGCCAGCAUUCCAAGCCCUUCCAGCACCCGAAAUCCGCCGCUCCUCUUGCUGCCUUUUAUCUCCAGAUGCUAACGUGAAGGCAGCCCCUCAAUCCAGGAAAGCAGAAAAUCUUCAAGAAAACCCUCCAGUCAUCGUAACGCGUGUCCUCCAAGCCCUCGGAACUGUGGCUGUGGCUCUGGGGGCUCUAGGAGCUGCCUACUACAUCACUGAAUCCUUGUGAACAAGCCCCUAGGCCCACAGUCUGGCAGAUCCAGUUUCCAUCAAAGGGACCUCUCUUGUCACCAAAAUUUAAAAAAAGAAAAAAAAAACGA
rnacentral:lncRNA from 1 species